GGGUACUUUCUCUAGUGGUUAGGAUGUUUGACUCCCAGACCAAAGGUUCUGGGUUCGAUCCCCCAAAUGCCCA